rnacentral:rRNA from 1 species
UACGGAGGAUGCGAGCGUUAUCCGGAUUUAUUGGGUUUAAAGGGUGCGUAGGCGGACUGUCAAGUCAGCGGUAAAAUUGAGAGGCUCAACCUCUUCCCGCCGUUGAAACUGGUGGUCUUGAGUGGAUGAGAAGUACGCGGAAUGCGUGGUGUAGCGGUGAAAUGCAUAGAUAUCACGCAGAACUCCGAUUGCGAAGGCAGCGUACCGGCAUCCAACUGACGCUGAGGCACGGAAGCGUGGGGAUCAAACAGG